GUGAAAACCAGCAGCUCAACUGCUGAAUUGCAUGCGAUACUGGCAAACUUGAGUACUGCAGGGGAGACUGGAAUUCCUGGUGUAGCGGUGAAAUGCGCAGAUAUCAGGAGGAACACCGGUGGCGAAGGCGGGUCUCUGGGCAGUAACUGACGCUGAGGAACGAAAGCGUGGGUAGCGAACAGGAUUAGAUACCCUGGUAGUCCACGCCGUAAACGGUGGGCGCUAGGUGUGGGUUCCUUCCACGGAAUCCGUGCCGUANCUAACGCAUUAAGCGCCCCCCCUGGGGAGUACGGCCGCAAGGCUAAAACUCAAAGGAUUUGACGGGGGCCCGCACAAGCGGGGGAGCAUGUGUUUUAUUUCNAUGCAACGCAAAAAACCUUACCUGGUUUUGACAUAUACCGGAAAGCUGCAAANAUGUGGCCCCCCUUGUGGNCGGUAUACANGUGG
rnacentral:rRNA from 1 species